GAUGAACGCUGGCGGCGUGCCCAAUACAUGCAAGUAGAACGCUGAAGCUUGGUGCUUGCACCGAGCGGAUGAGUUGCGAACGGGUGAGUAACGCGUAGGUAACCUGCCUCUUAGCGGGGGAUAACUAUUGGAAACGAUAGCUAAUACCGCAUAAAAGUCGAUAUCGCAUGAUGUUGAUUUGAAAGAUGCAAUUGCAUCACUAAGAGAUGGACCUGCGUUGUAUUAGCUAGUUGGUGAAGUAACGGCUCACCAAGGCGACGAUACAUAGCCGACCUGAGAGGGUGAUCGGCCACACUGGGACUGAGACACGGCCCAGACUCCUACGGGAGGCAGCAGUAGGGAAUCUUCGGCAAUGGGGGCAACCCUGACCGAGCAACGCCGCGUGAGUGAAGAAGGUUUUCGGAUCGUAAAGCUCUGUUGUAAGAGAAGAACGAGUGUGAGAGUGGAAAGUUCACACUGUGACGGUAACUUACCAGAAAGGGACGGCUAACUACGUGCCAGCAGCCGCGGUAAUACGUAGGUCCCGAGCGUUAUCCGGAUUUAUUGGGCGUAAAGCGAGCGCAGGCGGUUAGAUAAGUCUGAAGUUAAAGGCUGUGGCUUAACCAUAGUACGCUUUGGAAACUGUUUAACUUGAGUGCAGAAGGGGAGAGUGGAAUUCCAUGUGUAGCGGUGAAAUGCGUAGAUAUAUGGAGGAACACCGGUGGCGAAAGCGGCUCUCUGGUCUGUAACUGACGCUGAGGCUCGAAAGCGUGGGGAGCAAACAGG
rnacentral:rRNA from 1 species